GAGCACGUAGGUGGGUUUGUAAGUCAGAUGUGAAAGCCUUCUGUUCAAAGGAAGAACGGCAUCUGAAACUACGAAUCUUGAGUGUAGGAGGGGAGAGUGGAACUUCUGGUGGAGCGGUGAAAUGCGUAGAUAUCAGAAGGAACGUCGGCGGCGAAAGCGACUCUCUGGCCUAUUACUGACACUGAGUGUGCGAAAGUUAGGGGAGCAAACGGGAUUAGAUACCCCGGUAGUCCUAACCGUAAACGAUGGGCACUAAGUAGAGGGGUUUU
rnacentral:rRNA from 1 species